rnacentral:snoRNA from 1 species
GCUGUCGGGGAUGAUGAGAUGAUCUCGUUCAUCCUCAAUGGCUUGGACUCUGACUACAACUCCCUGGUUUCCUCUGUCAUAGGGAGGCUCGACAUGACACUGAGUGAUCUCUACGCUCAGAUUGUGGCCUUUGACA